GGCUUAUUAGUUCAGCUGGUUAGAGCGUUGUACUAAUAAUGCGAAGGUUGUAGGUUCGAGACCUGUAUUGGCCA